rnacentral:rRNA from 1 species
GGUCAAGCGAACAAGUGCAUGUGGUGGAUGCCUUGGCGAUCACAGGCGAUGAAGGACGCGGUAGCCUGCGAAAAGCCCCGGGGAGCUGGCAAACAAGCUUUGAUCCGGGGAUGUCCGAAUGGGGAAACCCACUCCUUUUGGAGUAUCCAUAGCUGAAUACAUAGGCUAUGUGAAGCGAACGCGGUGAACUGAAACAUCUAAGUAACCGCAGGAAAAGAAAUCAACCGAGAUUCCCAAAGUAGUGGCGAGCGAAAUGGGAUGAGCCUUGUACUCUUUAUUUGUAUUGUUAGCCGAACGCUCUGGAAAGUGCGGCCAUAGCAGGUGAUAGCCCUGUAGGCGAAAACAGUAUGAAAGAACUAGGUGUACGACAAGUAGGGCGGGACACGUGAAAUCCUGUCUGAAGAUGGGGGGACCAUCCUCCAAGGCUAAAUACUCGUGAUCGACCGAUAGUGAACCAGUACCGUGAGGGAAAGGCGAAAAGAACCCCGGGAGGGGAGUGAAAUAGAUCCUGAAACCGCAUGCAUACAAACAGUCGGAGCCUCGUAAGGGGUGACGGCGUACCUUUUGUAUAAUGGGUCAGCGACUUACGUUCAGUAGCAAGCUUAACCGUAUAGGGCAGGCGUAGCGAAAGCGAGUCCGAAUAGGGCGUUCAGUUGCUGGGCGUAGACCCGAAACCAGGUGAUCUAUCCAUGGCCAGGAUGAAGGUGCGGUAACACGUACUGGAGGUCCGAACCCACUAACGUUGAAAAGUUAGGGGAUGAGCUGUGGAUAGGGGUGAAAGGCUAAACAAACCUGGAAAUAGCUGGUUCUCUCCGAAAACUAUUUAGGUAGUGCCUCGUGUCUCACCUUCGGGGGUAGAGCACUGUCAUGGUUGGGGGGUCUAUUGCAGAUUACCCCGCCAUAGCAAACUCCGAAUACCGAAGAGUGCAAUCACGGGAGACAGACAUCGGGUGCUAACGUCCGGUGUCAAGAGGGAAACAACCCAGACCGCCAGCUAAGGUCCCCAAAUAUGGCUAAGUGGGAAACGAAGUGGGAAGGCUAAAACAGUCAGGAGGUUGGCUUAGAAGCAGCCACCCUUUAAAGAAAGCGUAAUAGCUCACUGAUCGAGUCGUCCUGCGCGGAAGAUGUAACGGGGCUAAGCCAUAUACCGAAGCUGCGGAUGCGUGCUUGCACGCAUGGUAGGAGAGCGUUCCGUAAGCCUGCGAAGGUGCCUUGUAAAGGGUGCUGGAGGUAUCGGAAGUGCGAAUGCUGACAUGAGUAGCGAUAAAGGGGGUGAAAGGCCCCCUCGCCGUAAGCCCAAGGUUUCCUACGCAACGUUCAUCGGCGUAGGGUGAGUCGGCCCCUAAGGCGAGGCAGAAAUGCGUAGCUGAUGGGAAGCAGGUCAAUAUUCCUGCACCAUUGUUAGAUGCGAUGGGGGGACGGAUCGCGGAAGGUUGUCCGGGUGUUGGACGUCCCGGUCGCUGCAUUGGAGAAGGCGCUUAGGCAAAUCCGGGCGCAGGAUUCAAGGGUGUGGCGCGAGCGACUUCGGUCGCGAAGCAAUUGGAAGUGGUUCCAAGAAAAGCCUCUAAGCUUCAGUCUAACGAUGACCGUACCGCAAACCGACACAGGUGGGCGAGAUGAGUAUUCUAAGGCGCUUGAGAGAACUCGGGAGAAGGAACUCGGCAAAUUGGUACCGUAACUUCGGGAUAAGGUACGCCCUUGUAGCUUGACUGGCCUGCGCCAGGAGGGUGAAGGGGUUGCAAUAAACUGGUGGCUGCGACUGUUUAAUAAAAACACAGCACUCUGCAAACACGAAAGUGGACGUAUAGGGUGUGACGCCUGCCCGGUGCCGGAAGAUUAAAUGAUGGGGUGCAAGCUCUUGAUUGAAGUCCCGGUAAACGGCGGCCGUAACUAUAACGGUCCUAAGGUAGCGAAAUUCCUUGUCGGGUAAGUUCCGACCUGCACGAAUGGCGUAACGAUGGCCACACUGUCUCCUCCCGAGACUCAGCGAAGUUGAAGUGUUUGUGAUGAUGCAAUCUACCCGCGGCUAGACGGAAAGACCCCAUGAACCUUUACUGUAGCUUUGCAUUGGACUUUGAACCGAUCUGUGUAGGAUAGGUGGGAGGCUAUGAAACCGGAACGCUAGUUUCGGUGGAGCCGUCCUUGAAAUACCACCCUGGUUUGUUUGAGGUUCUAACCUUGGUCCGUGAUCCGGAUCGGGGACAGUGCAUGGUAGGCAGUUUGACUGGGGCGGUCUCCUCCCAAAGGGUAACGGAGGAGUACGAAGGUACGCUAGGUACGGUCGGAAAUCGUGCUGAUAGUGCAAUGGCAUAAGCGUGCUUAACUGCGAGACCGACAAGUCGAGCAGGUGCGAAAGCAGGUCAUAGUGAUCCGGUGGUUCUGUAUGGAAGGGCCAUCGCUCAACGGAUAAAAGGUACUCUGGGGAUAACAGGCUGAUACCGCCCAAGAGUUCAUAUCGACGGCGGUGUUUGGCACCUCGAUGUCGGCUCAUCUCAUCCUGGGGCUGUAGCCGGUCCCAAGGGUAUGGCUGUUCGCCAUUUAAAGAGGUACGUGAGCUGGGUUUAAAACGUCGUGAGACAGUUUGGUCCCUAUCUGCCGUGGGCGUUGGAUAUUUGAAGGGGGCUGCUCCUAGUACGAGAGGACCGGAGUGGACGAACCUCUGGUGUACCGGUUGUGACGCCAGUCGCAUCGCCGGGUAGCUAUGUUCGGAAGAGAUAACCGCUGAAAGCAUCUAAGCGGGAAACUCGCCUUAAGAUGAGAUAUCCCUGGAGGCUUGACCUCCUUGAAGGGUCGUUCGAGACCAGGACGUUGAUAGGUCGGGUGUGUAAGCGCAGUAAUGCGUUCAGCUAACCGAUACUAAUUGCCCGUAAGGCUUGAUCCU